UACAGAGGGUGCAAGCGUUAAUCGGAAUUACUGGGCGUAAAGCGCACGUAGGCGGUUUUUUAAGUCAGAUGUGAAAGCCCCGGGCUCAACCUGGGAAUUGCAUUUGAAACUGGGAAACUAGAGUGUGUGAGAGGGGGGUAGAAUUCCAAGUGUAGCGGUGAAAUGCGUAGAGAUUUGGAGGAAUACCAGAGGCGAAGGCGGCCCCCUGGCACAACACUGACGCUCAGGUGCGAAAGCGUGGGGAGCAAACAGG
rnacentral:rRNA from 1 species